rnacentral:rRNA from 3 species
GGGUUGUGAGGUUAAGCGACUAAGCGUACACGGUGGAUGCCCUGGCAGUCAGAGGCGAUGAAGGGCGUGCUAAUCUGCGAUAAGCGCCGGUAAGGUGAUAUGAACCGUUAUAACCGGCGAUACCCGAAUGGGGAAACCCAGUGUGAUUCGUCACACUAUCAUUAACUGAAUCCAUAGGUUAAUGAGGCGAACCGGGGGAACUGAAACAUCUAAGUACCCCGAGGAAAAGAAAUCAACCGAGAUUCCCCCAGUAGCGGCGAGCGAACGGGGAGGAGCCCAGAGCCUGAAUCAGCAUGUGUGUUAGUGGAAGCGUCUGGAAAGGUGCGCGAUACAGGGUGACAGCCCCGUACACAAAAGCGCAUGUGCUGUGAGCUCGAUGAGUAGGGCGGGACACGUGAUAUCCUGUCUGAAUAUGGGGGGACCAUCCUCCAAGGCUAAAUACUCCUGACUGACCGAUAGUGAACCAGUACCGUGAGGGAAAGGCGAAAAGAACCCCGGCGAGGGGAGUGAAAAAGAACCUGAAACCGUGUACGUACAAGCAGUGGGAGCACAGGUUUACCUGUGUGACUGCGUACCUUUUGUAUAAUGGGUCAGCGACUUAUAUUCUGUAGCAAGGUUAACCGUAUAGGGGAGCCGUAGGGAAACCGAGUCUUAACCGGGCGUUAAGUUGCAGGGUAUAGACCCGAAACCCGGUGAUCUAGCCAUGGGCAGGUUGAAGGUUGGGUAACACUAACUGGAGGACCGAACCGACUAAUGUUGAAAAAUUAGCGGAUGACCUGUGGCUGGGGGUGAAAGGCCAAUCAAACCGGGAGAUAGCUGGUUCUCCCCGAAAGCUAUUUAGGUAGCGCCUCGUGAAUUCAUCUCCGGGGGUAGAGCACUGUUUCGGCUAGGGGGCCAUCCCGGCUUACCAACCCGAUGCAAACUGCGAAUACCGGAGAAUGUUAUCACGGGAGACACACGGCGGGUGCUAACGUCCGUCGUGAAGAGGGAAACAACCCAGACCGCCAGCUAAGGUCCCAAAGUCAUGGUUAAGUGGGAAACGAUGUGGGAAGGCCCAGACAGCCAGGAUGUUGGCUUAGAAGCAGCCAUCAUUUAAAGAAAGCGUAAUAGCUCACUGGUCGAGUCGGCCUGCGCGGAAGAUGUAACGGGGCUAAACCAUGCACCGAAGCUGCGGCAGCGAACGUAUCACCCAAGACAACUUUACGGAGUUGACGAUUGACGGAGCGAAGCGACGUCAAAGCGUUCAUUAAAGUCGAGUUGGCUUAGGGAUACGUUCGUUGGGUAGGGGAGCGUUCUGUAAGCCUGUGAAGGUGUGUCGUGAGGCAUGCUGGAGGUAUCAGAAGUGCGAAUGCUGACAUAAGUAACGAUAAAGCGGGUGAAAAGCCCGCUCGCCGGAAGACCAAGGGUUCCUGUCCAACGUUAAUCGGGGCAGGGUGAGUCGACCCCUAAGGCGAGGCCGAAAGGCGUAGUCGAUGGGAAACGGGUUAAUAUUCCCGUACUUGGUGUUACUGCGAAGGGGGGACGGAGAAGGCUAUGUUGGCCGGGCGACGGUUGUCCCGGUUUAAGCGUGUAGGUGUGUGUUCCAGGUAAAUCCGGUUCACUUUAACACUGAGGCGUGACGACGAGGCACUACGGUGCUGAAGCAACAAAUGCCCUGCUUCCAGGAAAAGCCUCUAAGCAUCAGGUAACAUCAAAUCGUACCCCAAACCGACACAGGUGGUCAGGUAGAGAAUACCAAGGCGCUUGAGAGAACUCGGGUGAAGGAACUAGGCAAAAUGGUGCCGUAACUUCGGGAGAAGGCACGCUGACACGUAGGUGAAGUGAUUUACUCAUGGAGCUGAAGUCAGUCGAAGAUACCAGCUGGCUGCAACUGUUUAUUAAAAACACAGCACUGUGCAAACACGAAAGUGGACGUAUACGGUGUGACGCCUGCCCGGUGCCGGAAGGUUAAUUGAUGGGGUCAGCGCAAGCGAAGCUCCUGAUCGAAGCCCCGGUAAACGGCGGCCGUAACUAUAACGGUCCUAAGGUAGCGAAAUUCCUUGUCGGGUAAGUUCCGACCUGCACGAAUGGCGUAAUGAUGGCCAGGCUGUCUCCACCCGAGACUCAGUGAAAUUGAACUCGCUGUGAAGAUGCAGUGUACCCGCGGCAAGACGGAAAGACCCCGUGAACCUUUACUAUAGCUUGACACUGAACAUUGAGCCUUGAUGUGUAGGAUAGGUGGGAGGCUUUGAAGUGUGGACGCCAGUCUGCAUGGAGCCGACCUUGAAAUACCACCCUUUAAUGUUUGAUGUUCUAACGUGGACCCGUAAUCCGGGUUGCGGACAGUGUCUGGUGGGUAGUUUGACUGGGGCGGUCUCCUCCUAAAGAGUAACGGAGGAGCACGAAGGUUGGCUAAUCCUGGUCGGACAUCAGGAGGUUAGUGCAAUGGCAUAAGCCAGCUUGACUGCGAGCGUGACGGCGCGAGCAGGUGCGAAAGCAGGUCAUAGUGAUCCGGUGGUUCUGAAUGGAAGGGCCAUCGCUCAACGGAUAAAAGGUACUCCGGGGAUAACAGGCUGAUACCGCCCAAGAGUUCAUAUCGACGGCGGUGUUUGGCACCUCGAUGUCGGCUCAUCACAUCCUGGGGCUGAAGUAGGUCCCAAGGGUAUGGCUGUUCGCCAUUUAAAGUGGUACGCGAGCUGGGUUUAGAACGUCGUGAGACAGUUCGGUCCCUAUCUGCCGUGGGCGCUGGAGAACUGAGGGGGGCUGCUCCUAGUACGAGAGGACCGGAGUGGACGCAUCACUGGUGUUCGGGUUGUCAUGCCAAUGGCACUGCCCGGUAGCUAAAUGCGGAAGAGAUAAGUGCUGAAAGCAUCUAAGCACGAAACUUGCCCCGAGAUGAGUUCUCCCUGAGACUUAGAGUCUCCUGAAGGAACGUUGAAGACGACGACGUUGAUAGGCCGGGUGUGUAAGCGCAGCGAUGCGUUGAGCUAACCGGUACUAAUGAACCGUGAGGCUUAACCUUACAACGCCGAAG